CAGUCGCCGCGGGAAAACGUAGGUGGCAAGCGUUGUCCGGAAUUAUUGGGCGUAAAGCGCGCGCAGGCGGAUCAGUUAGUCUGUCUUAAAAGUUCGGGGCUUAACCCCGUGAUGGGAUGGAAACUGCUGAUCUAGAGUAUCGGAGAGGAAAGUGGAAUUCCUAGUGUAGCGGUGAAAUGCGUAGAUAUUAGGAAGAACACCAGUGGCGAAGGCGACUUUCUGGACGAAAACUGACGCUGAGGCGCGAAAGCCAGGGGAGCGAACGGGAUUAGAUACCCCCGUAGUCCCUGUCUCUUAUACC
rnacentral:rRNA from 1 species